AGCGAACGCUGGCGGCAGGCUUAACACAUGCAAGUCGAGCGGGCAUCCUUGUGGUGUCAGCGGCAGACGGGUGAGUAACGCGUGGGAACGUGCCCUUCGGUUCGGAAUAACUCAGGGAAACUUGAGCUAAUACCGGAUACGUGCGAGAGCAGAAAGGUUUAUCUGCCGAAGGAUCGGCCCGCGUCUGAUUAGCUAGUUGGUGAGGUUAUGGCUCACCAAGGCGACGAUCAGUAGCUGGUCUGAGAGGAUGAUCAGCCACACUGGGACUGAGACACGGCCCAGACUCCUACGGGGGGCAGCAGUGGGGAAUAUUGGACAAUGGGGGCAACCCUGAUCCAGCCAUGCCGCGUGAGUGAUGACGGCCUUAGGGUUGUAAAGCUCUUUUCUUCGGGACGAUAAUGACGGUACCGGAGGAAUAAGCCCCGGCUAACUUCGUG
rnacentral:rRNA from 1 species